rnacentral:rRNA from 1 species
CUCAGAUCACGUAAACCAUUAAAAGUCGAACAGACUUAAUCUCUUCAGCCCCUACACCAAAAAUUCAAUUUAAUUCAACAUCGAGGUCGCAACCAUAAUUAUUAAUAAGAACUUGCUAAUUAAAUAACGCUGUUAUCCCUAGAGUAACUUCUUAAUAAUAUAAUUUAACCUAAUUAAAAAUAUCCCACUUCAAAUGUUACCCCAACAAAAAUUAAUCUAAUUAUAAGCUUCUAGGGUCUUCUCGUCCCAAAAAUUAAUAAAAGCAUUUUAACUUUUAACUUAAAUUCAAAAUCAUAAUAUAAAACAUACCUUUCAGUCUCUACCCUUCAUUCCAGUUUCCAAUUAAAAAA